rnacentral:rRNA from 1 species
CCUACGGGAGGCAGCAGUGGGGGAUAUUGGACAAUGGGGGGAACCCUGAUCCAGCGACGCCGCGUGAGUGAAGAAGGGUUUCGGCUCGUAAAGCUCUGUUGGUAGUGAAGAAAGAUAGAGGUAGUAACUGGCCUUUAUUUGACGGUAAUUACUUAGAAAGUCACGGCUAACUACGUGCCAGCAGCCGCGGUAAUACGUAGGUGGCAAGCGUUGUCCGGAUUUAUUGGGCGUAAAGCGAGUGCAGGCGGUUCAAUAAGUCUGAUGUGAAAGCCUUCGGCUCAACCGGAGAAUUGCAUCAGAAACUGGUGAACUUGAGUGCAGAAGAGGAGAGUGGAACUCCAUGUGUAGCGGUGGAAUGCGUAGAUAUAUGGAAGAACACCAGUGGCGAAGGCAGCUCUCUGGUCUGCAACUGACGCUGAGGCUCGAAAGCAUGGGUAGCGAACAGGAUUAGAUACCCGGGUAGUC